GCUUUCCUACGGGAGGCAGCAGUGGGGAAUAUUGCACAAUGGGCGGAAGCCUGAUGCAGCAACGCCGCGUGAAGGAAGAAGGGUUUCGGCUCGUAAACUUCUCUCAACAGGGACGAAAGAAAUGACGGUACCUGAAUAAGAAGCCCCGGCUAACUACGUGCCAGCAGCCGCGGGAAUACGUAGGGGGCAAGCGUUAUCCGGAAUUACUGGGUGUGAAGGGUGAGUAGGCGGCAUGGUAAGCCAGAUGUGAAAGCCUUGGGCUUAACCCGAGGAUUGCAUUUGGAACUAUCAAGCUGGAGUACAGG
rnacentral:rRNA from 1 species